rnacentral:rRNA from 1 species
CAGCAGCCGCGGGAAUACGAAGGGGGCUAGCGUUGCUCGGAAUGACUGGGCGUAAAGGGCGCGUAGGCGGAUUGUUUAGUUAGGCGUGAAAUUCCUGGGCUUAACCUGGGGACUGCGCUUAAUACAGGCAGUCUAGAGUGAGGAAGAGGGUUGUGGAAUUCCCAGUGUAGAGGUGAAAUUCGUAGAUAUUGGGAAGAACACCGGUGGCGAAGGCGGCAACCUGGUCCUUGACUGACGCUGAGGCGCGAAAGCGUGGGGAGCAAACGGGAUUAGAUACCCCCGUAGUCCCUGUCUCUUAUAC